UCCCUACACAACGUAGAUUCUUGAGGAAGGAGGAAGGCAAGGUCGUCGAUUGGUUGCCAAAUUCAUUGGCUUCUCAUUCUUCGAACUUGCUAUCGAAUAGAAGCUUGGUGCUUGGUUUCUGAUAAUUUAAGUGCAAGAUCAGUGAGUUUGGUUGCUGAUAAUUUAAGCACAAGAGCAUUGAACCUGGUGCAAGUCAUGCGAAGAAUAGGCUGAUGUUGAUUGCAGUUGAAUAGGACUGUUAGUUGUAAGUUCUGAAAGUGUUAGAUACUGUGUGUUGUAAUUUAAGUGGUAGAUGAACCUCUUUUUAUCGUAAUGUGCUGUAUUCCAGUGCAGAAACAUUGAACAACUUUACGGGUUGUGCUGUUUUGAUACGUGAAAAGUGCCUUCAUGUGUUUUUUUUGAACAUGGCUUUAAUUUAUAUGCCCAUAUUUUGCUGUUGCUUUAUGAAUGGGGGAAUGACUAUGUAUUUGUUAGUUAAAUUCUUUUGGAUGCUAUUAAAUGACAACUUGCAGUUUA